rnacentral:rRNA from 1 species
GAAUUGCCUUUGAUACUGUUAUUCUUGAGUGUAGUUGAAGUGGGCGGAAUAUAGCAUGUAGCGGUGAAAUGCAUAGAUAUGCUAUAGAACACCAAUUGCGAAGGCAGCUCGCUAAACUAUAACUGACGCUGAGGCACGAAAGCGUGGGGAGCGAACAGGAUUAGAUACCCUGGUAGUCCACGCCGUAAACGAUGAACACUCGCUGUUGGCGAUACACAGUCAGCGGCUUAGCGAAAGCGUUAAGUGUUCCACCUGGGAAUUACGAUCGCAAGGUUGAAACUCAAAGGAAUUGACGGGGGCCCGCACAAGCGGAGGAGCAUGUGGUUUAAUUCGAUGAUACGCGAGGAACCUUACCUGGGCUUAAAUGCAUAUUGACGUACUGAGAAAUCA